GGGCCAGAAAAAGAUUAAGAGGGGCCGCAUUUGGCCCACGGGCUGCUAGUUGAAUAGGCCUGUCAUAGAGGAACAGGAGGCGGCUGCUACAGCUGAAGCCGAAGGCCUGAAAGUCGCGGACGAGGAGCCCGGAAUGGCUCGAGCCGGGGCGGAUUGGUGGUGCGUGUGCGCUCACUGUUCGCCUAUGGACACAGAGGUAGAGUCCAUCUGCUGCAAGGAAUUUCAAAGAUGUAGAUUUCUUCUUGACGAAAUCUCUGACUCAGACGAGGACACGGACAUGUGUUGUGGACCAUCCUAGUUUCGCAUUGCAUAUGGACAGCGGCGUCCUGGACACUUAUUUCAGAAUCCCAAAGGUAAACUGGAAACGUCAGCCAAAGCCUGCAGGGACGAACGGACGUCUGACUGUAAAACAAUAUCGCCUACCGACACUUUUUGGAAUGGGUCCUGCAAGGCGUGAGAUUGGGUAGAGGCUGUCGGGUCGUUUUACCUUCUUGCGUCGUGCAGACCAUCCGACAAAAAUAUCCUGCUCCAGACGGCCAGUACUGUGGACACCAAGAAGCUGACGACGUUCAGGAGGAACUAUGAGUUUCAUUGUUUACAUUUUUUUUGUUGUUUAUUUCUUGAAGUAAAUGGUUGAAAUUCACGUUGUUGAAGUCCUUAUUAGUGUUGCUCCAAGUGUAUAUCCGAGAAAUAAUUAUAUUAUUGGACGACCAACAUUUCACAAGUGGAGCUACUAAGCUGUUCCCUUGAAAAAAACAAUAGCAGAGUAACUCAUCAUUUUUAUAAAUCUAUAAGUCUAAAUUGCACUGAGUUAGUUGCAUAUCAGUUACCUCCUUCCAAGUUUAUAAUGUUGAACUUUGGUGUAGACAGACAAGAGCAGGAGUUACAUUAUAUUUCUCAUUCACAAAUGAAGUUUGUCAUGGGUAGACAACAAAUUAAAAUAAACUGGGUCAAACUAAAUAUAUUAUAAUCGCACAAACCUCUUAGGCCUACUAGGAAUACCACAACAGCAGUCAAUGGAUCAAUUAACAAUACUUUAUUAGCACCAUCAUACGACAGUGAUCGGUACUCCUGUUCUCGGGGUGAGGAGCCCCGAGACCCUUGAUUUUCUGUGUAAUAGAAUACAGAAUAGCAGAGCGGAGAGAGAUGUAGUGCAACUGCAGUAGCUGCCAUCAUGUCUGUAAUACGGGGAAUUGAUUAACCUAGCGAUUGUGGUACUUGCACUUGGUUCUAUGAACAUCCUUUCUGUACCGACAGCGAUAUAUUAAUGUACUUAUUGUAAGUCGCUUUGGAUAAAAGCGUCUGCUAAAUGCCCUAAAUGUAAAUGAGAUGGAGUUGGGCCUAAAAAAGAAAAAAAAUUGGUUCCUGUUGGUUGUCAGUUGAGAGGUCAUGGGUAGAUAGGGAAUUUUUAUUUUAAUUUUUUCCAGCGCCAGCGAAUGAUAGGUAGGUUGUUUUCAUUUGAAAACGAGAAAAUUCGCUCAUCCUUGUACAGAAUGAAGAGGUGCUGUACCAAAACGUAAUUAUAGUUUGCAUAAACUAAUUUGGCUCAUAAAAUAAUUUGGGUCCGGAACCAAACAAAAACAUUUUUGGGUGCUGGGCUGAGGUCUCAGAAGCGGCUUUUGAACAAGGUUGUGGCAGCCUCCUUUGUUGGUUUAGGUACAGGGGCAAUGUUGGCUGGCAAAGCAGGUUGUGCCAGGGUGAGUGAGGAGGUUGGGACGUUUAACGUUAUGUUAGGGUCAUGUCUUCUGUCCAUGACCCUGUUGAUGAGAUGUCUGAUAAACUCGGUGGUGUGUGGCGUGAAGAUGGUUUUCAAUAUCCACUGUUUGGACUUCUUGCAGUACGCCAGCUUGAACCGUGGUUCUCCUGUAAAUGACAAGGAAUAUGAUUACACAGAAAAUCGGAAAGAAGGUUUGUCUAGUAGACCUCUCUCCCCAGGAAUAGAUUAAACCUUUCAGCGACGUAUGCCUAUUGAGUUAGCUGUGAACUUUCUAAUUUUGGUUAAUAUACUAUUCAAAGAGCACAUGGUAACACACCUGUCACUGUGGUGGCUUGUUUCCUUUUCACAAUGUUUUCAUUGUGCUCCAGGAUAGCGAGGUAGCACCUCUCCUUCAUUCCAUCAUACGAGAAGGCCUGGCGUUUGGGGAGGUAUUUCAGGAGAGCACUAUGAAAGAUCUCCAGUGGCCCUGUGUGCAAUUAGAAUUAGAGAGAAUGGAUAGGACUAAUUAAAACAUGUUCAUUAGUGCCGUGGAAAUAUCAUAACUAAAAUAUACAAAUUAUAUUAACCUUGUUUAUAUCAUUACUAUUCACAUUAAAAUGAAUUGUAUACAUUCUCCCUUCCACUCUCUAACUGAGAGAGGUUAAGAUAGUUCACAUUUGCAUUCCCACUGCAGCCAAUAAGUCUGAUACUGAGGCCAGGCAUGUUGUGUAGAUGCCUUGCAGCCUUGUAGGCAUGUCUACUUCCCCCAUAGUGUAUUGCCGUUAGCUUGGCCGUUAAUAUGCGAGAGUAAAAGGGCAUCUAUUCUCACCAGUAUGUUUGAAGAGGGCCACCUUCUCGAGGUCUUUCAAUAGCCUUUUGUCUAGGACCAGCGACGACAGGUCCUGAAAUGCCACCGAGUCCUUCUCAAUCCACAUCCUCUUCUUCUGCUCACAGGCGGUAAGAGGAGUGUGGUCACACCGAUGACGAUUUCCGUCACCAUCUGUCCAUUCAUGUUCAUUGCAAGCAUGGUGUGGAAUGAACUUCCACCGUUUUUGCAGUGCCUGUGUGAAAGAAGAGAGUCUCAAUAAUACUGUUACGUAUUUUAAGAACACAAGCUGUAUUUCCCCCACUUAACCACUAGGGGGUAGGACCAAACAUAAGCCGUAAAUACUAUACAUAGCCACAAGGGGAGCAAGACCUUACUGAAGGCUGCAAUAAAUACUUUAGCCACAGAAGGCAGCACCACAGACCAGGCGAGGAAGCCGAGGGUUACGUCACACCGGCUCCUCCCACUACUUCCGGUCCGCGCUGUUCAGACCAUAACAGCCUACAGAUCGAGCAUGUCUUCAGAAUCUUCUCGGCAGCUAUUAUACAUACAAGGGUUAAUGUUUUUGAUCAGCUAGGAGACGCUCGCACGUGCUUAGACACAUCUUCAGUCUCUCUUUGCUUCAGAGUAUCAGUUAACCAUACCGAAAAUACUUUAUACUAAAUAAAGUCUCUUUAAAGCUAUUCCUUUGGAUUCGACCACUUUCCUUGAAGAACUCAGCAAUACUAUUUGUGCUGUUCUGAUGUUUAUUUGGUGAAAGGGAGACCCCUAGUGGUCAACUUUUAACGCAAUGUUUUUGUACUAGCAGUCUUGCCGUAGUUCGACGAUGCAUGUGAACCAACAGUCACGUACUUUUUCUCUUUUGUAUUGGUUGGCCAGAAAACACGUUUGCCUGUAAGUAGAUGUCAUACAGCUAUCUUGACAUGGAAUUAAAUUAGUUCAGAAUGUAUAUUUUGAUCUUUUAUGCUAAUCGCGAGCAUCUUAAUGUAAUUUCCAAUAGACGUUAGCCCUAAGCUAACGUAUAUGUUAAUGUUUGUUAUGAAACGUUUUAAACGGACAAUAGAUGAAUACUGUUCUUGAACGUCUGUAUGAUAUACUGAAAGAUGUAUUUUGUAUCUGUCCAGUUUUACAGUGCUUACCAAGUAAAGUUUGGAAAGGAAACAAGCUGCUUCAUUCUUUAUAAAGGGAAAACUGUUAUCUAUCUGCCGAGCUGACGCAACAGGCUAGUUCGCGCCACACACACAAGGAAGCGGGGGCAGAAUACUAUUACUAAAAAAAUAAAGAAAUCGGAGCUUAUCGCAGCUUUUGCUUCCUUACCUCUACGUCACCUUUACAUGUGGCACAGGUAAACCACAUGUGGUUGACGACAGACCAGUGAACGAUAUUAAAAUUAGUAAUUUGAAACCUUGUAAAUCAAAGGAACUUCUGCAAGAUUACAAUCCAACACUGACCUGGUCCAUGAAAGAAGGAUUUCAUGGCCCCUUUUUUUCCCCCUUCUUCAGCAUCUUUUUCCUGAAACCUGUGAUCGUUAAUGCAGCAUAAUUUGUGAAACACCAAUAAUUUCCAAUUAUUUCUGUAUUGUCUCCAUUCACCCUGUCUUAGCCAUAUAUAUCCUUUUAGCUAUUACUACUAUUGCACAGGGUGUGGCUUGUCACUGGGAUUUAGGUAGAACUACAGGUGUGGUGAUCAGUUAGGCAAAAUUGUGGAUAGUGGGGGGAACAAUGUGUGAAGUACCAAACUUUGAUAAUUGGAGCACUAGCCAAAUAUGACGCAUGUCAGGACCUAUGAUUCUGUUUUGCUAUGUGUUGAGAACAUUUUGAUAUCCAUGCAGAGGGUUUAUAAGAUAGCCUCCACACACACCUUCUAGUUUCUCUCUCUCAACCCCCUCCCAGAGCUUCAAAGCAUUGCUUCCCUCAGCAAGUGUAGACGUGUGGAUUGUGUGUUUUCUUGAAUGAAAGGAGUUCAGCGAGGCUGCAUAGAUCUGGGCAGGGGUGGUGAUACCAUGAGGUAUCAAUGGGGGGUAGGCGUCAAUGGGGGAUGGUCCAGAGAAGAAUUGCGUGUGUAUGUUUACAAGGAUGGCAAAAAAUACAUACCUUUGGCUGUGUGCCAGAUGUCAAAUUCGUGCUGGACACUAGGAUAUUGUUCCCGAAUUAUUUUUUGUAUUGACGAGGAGCGGCCCGUGGCCAUCACCUCCACGUCAAGGCCCAAGUCCAGAAGCUCAGUCAUUCCUCUCGUAAAACCCAGUGGCUCCAUGGGUCCGGAGCUGGUGGCCUCUCUACACUAAAGAUUCAAGUUUGAUAAGUUGCAUGUCAUCAAAAUGUUCAACAUAGAAAGAUUAAUUUUCCAUUAUUGUUAUUCUGCAUCCAUUUAUAUGUAUCUUACCUGCACCAGUUCUGUGUGGAGUAUCUCCUUUGUGUCGUCCAACAUAAAAGGUGUAGUGGCAGUAUUUUGCAUUGAAGCCUGGCGAGUCACAUCGGCCAUCACCUGCCAAAUGUGGCCUCUUCCCAUCUUCCUGUUCCAAAUAAACUCUUGCCAAGAGUUCUGUUCUUUUCUCCCUAUAGACGUUCUCAAUAGCCGGGUGCAAGUACGCCUUCUGAAUGUUAUAGAACGUAGUUGCCCAAUCAUUUGGAGACCCAUGGUUUGGCACCAGUCUGAGAGUUCUGUGUAUGUGCCGCCCCUGAACAGAACAGCUGCAGCUGAAAGGAGAUUAACCUCUGGCAUUCCCCUUACGUCAGGUGAAGAUGUCCAAGUGCCCCAGAAUCAAAGAUGGUCUUCGAUGAAAUCGGUUUCCCACACAUCUGGCAAAAUUUGAAUAGUGACAUGAGGCUGGAUUCAUUGACAAUAAUCUUCUUUUCACGCCAGUCCUUUACACCUUCAUCCUCUGAUGACGACGCCGAUGUGGGGGUGAGGGUUGAUUCAGGCCGAUAGCUUUCGUCGGUUUCACCAACUUCAAGGCUACUGGCACUGGUAUCGAGGCCUGGUGACUAUAAAACAAAAAGAGGUUUAUUUUCAAUGUUAAAUUCCACAAAUUGCAGUAGUUUUACAAUUCCAUUACAGACAAUAUGCUGUACAAACUUACAAACUGUGCUCUGCCAGAGGGAGGAUUCUCCAUUGGUGUUGACAUCAGUGGCGCCGACUGGUCUUCCUCAUCUUCUGACGACGAGAACAAAGCUGCAGCAGACGUUGUUAGAGUCUGAAAUGAGAUAUGAUCAAUAAACAUUUUAAUAACAUAAAACUAACAUACGUGAAACAUCGUAGAACAUCGAUAACAGCAAACGUCGAUAGAAUACUCAGCAACCAACAACACCUACGACCACAAUGAAAUGACAGCCAUGCCGGCAAUGCGUUGUGCAGUGGGCUACUGCACAACAAAUUGCCUGCAUGUCUGUCGUUUGAUUGUGGUUGCUGAGUUACCACUGAAAUCAAUGGGUCAGUGGGUGAGAUCGGUCGUCAAGAUGUGCGCGCAAAGCUACAGUGCCGUCGCGUGAACCAAACGAAUGAGUUAUAAGUUGGCUGUUUACAAAGUAAAGCUGCCGUCUUUCGCAUGUUUUUGUUGCAUGUUGUUCUAAUGUGCCGUCAUGUAACAGUAAACAUAUUCUGACAUAACCUUAUCCAUAAUAAUUCAUCUCGGGUUUUGUGGGGUAGCUGCCGACCGAGGAGCCGAGUAGCAAAAGCUCUAGCAGUAACCUGGGGCCUCAUGUACUAAGGUUGCGUACGCACAAAAACGUGGCGUACGUCCUUUUCCACGCUCACGUUCAGAUGUACAAAACGUGAAAUGACCGUAAAAAUGUGCGGUCCCCACGCCAGCUCCAGAGCUGUCGUACGCAUGUUUCUACAGCUAUUGUUCCUUUGGCGACACUUAGAGGUGACGCUGGGAAACUGGGAAAAAAGGUGAAAACAAUGACUCAGUGAUUUGCACAUCAGAGACACACUAAUGAACAAUUAACACACCUUGCAAUUAUAUGGGUGGCUAUAAAAGCAUGCGCAAUG